GAUGGGCCUUUCUUGGGCUUUUGUAAAUCUAAAGUUAGGGCUUUUGUUUAAGCCUUUGUAUGAUAUAGUCAAUCUUAAUAAAAUCCCAUCUUUGAAUAAACAAAAACCCAUGCAUUGUUCAAUUCUAAUGGCUUCUCAAAAUAAAAAUUGUGAUUAUAUUCUAUGUUUACAUGAUGCAGGUUCCACCAUUCUUAGUCAGAAAAGUAUUCACACAAAUAUUUGCCUUCAUCAAUCUUCAUCUUCUCAACAGGCAUGCUCACUAGUAAUUACUUAUUUUAGUAUCUCUCAAUCCAAUUUUGACGUAAAGAUUUCUCUGUAAUAAACUUGUGCAGUUUUCUUCAAUGUCGUGAAUCUUGCACACCAAGAAAUGGGGACCACGU